UCAAGACAUUAAAAAGCAUACAAUAUUUCUGUGUAAUUGAUAACAUUUUUACAAAGUGAAACAUAGCUCCCGGAUUUGUUAUUUUGUUUUAAGAUUAUUUCUUAUCCAAACUAUCUUUGCUUUUCAGGACUUUGUGAAGUCACUUGCUAAUGCUGUUUUACAGAUGAAGAAUAUAAGGUGAGAGAUGAAACAAUUAUGUUCCCAAGGACCUUGAUUAGGGCUAGAGUAGAUGAGAUACUGAAUGUGUUAUUGACCCAGAUGUGUUGCAGACAUGCGGCCCUUGAUUCAGAGUGGGACCAUGGCAGGAACAAACAGACUCUAUGCUUCUGGAACAUUCUGAGCUUCAGUCACCUAUGAGCCACUGGGUAAGGACACAAGCCAUUCCAAUCUUGGUACAUCUAAUUUCUUGGUAAAUUACUGUCAUUUCAACUUUGACUAUAUGUGAAAAUUUGUGUGCAUUGCACAAUGUGUUUUUGAGGCAUUUUGUAUGGGCAAAUUUGUACUUGGAGGGAGGGGAUCUGGGCCUUGCCAUGGAGGGAGAGUUAACUUUUUCUUUCCAAUCUGGUCCUAAUCCAUAUUGUGCC
rnacentral:lncRNA from 1 species